GAUGAACGCUGGCGGCGUGCCUAAUACAUGCAAGUCGAGCGAACGGACGAGAAGCUUGCUUCUCUGAUGUUAGCGGCGGACGGGUGAGUAACACGUGGAUAACCUACCUAUAAGACUGGGAUAACUUCGGGAAACCGGAGCUAAUACCGGAUGAUAUUUUGAACCGCAUGGUUCAAAAGUGAAAGACGGUCUUGCUGUCACUUAUAGAUGGAUCCGCGCUGCAUUAGCUAGUUGGUAAGGUAACGGCUUACCAAGGCAACGAUGCAUAGCCGACCUGAGAGGCUGAUCCGCCACACUGGAACUGAGACACGGUCCAGACUCCUACGGGAGGCAGCAGUAGGGAAUCUUCCGCAAUGGGCGAAAGCCUGACGGAGCAACGCCGCGUGAGUGAUGAAGGUCUUCCGAUCGUAAAACUCUGUUAUUAGGGAAGAACAUAUGUGUAAGUAACUGUGCACAUCUUGACGGUACCUAAUCAGAAAGCCACGGCUAACUACGUG
rnacentral:rRNA from 1 species